rnacentral:rRNA from 1 species
AGUGAACGCUGGCGGUAGGCCUAACACAUGCAAGUCGAACGGCAGCACAGUAAGAGCUUGCUCUUACGGGUGGCGAGUGGCGGACGGGUGAGGAAUACAUCGGAAUCUACUUUUUCGUGGGGGAUAACGUAGGGAAACUUACGCUAAUACCGCAUACGACCUACGGGUGAAAGCAGUGGAUCUUCGGACCUUGCGCGAUUGAAUGAGCCGAUGUCGGAUUAGCUAGUUGGCGGGGUAAAGGCCCACCAAGGCGACGAUCCGUAGCUGGUCUGAGAGGAUGAUCGGCCACACUGGAACUGAGACACGGUCCAGACUCCUACGGGAGGCAGCAGUGGGGAAUAUUGGACAAUGGGCGCAAGCCUGAUCCAGCAAUACCGCGUGGGUGAAGAAGGCCUUCGGGUUGUAAAGCCCUUUUGUUGGGAAAGAAAAGCAGCAGGUUAAUACCCCGCUGUUCUGACGGUACCCAAAGAAUAAGCACCGGCUAACUUCGUG